AAUGGGAUUGCCGAAAACCAUAGAUAGAGUAGGUG
rfam:Chitinophaga sancti strain DSM 784 genome assembly, contig: LX65DRAFT_scaffold00007.7